UGGGGAAUCUUGGACAAUGGGGGCAACCCUGAUCCAGCGACGCCGCGUGAGUGAAGAAGGCCUUAGGGUUGUAAAGUCCUUUCACCGGUGACGAUAAUGACGGUAGCCGGAGAAGAAGCCCCGGCUAACUCCGUGCCAGCAGCCGCGGUAAUACGGAGGGGGCUAGCGUUGUUCGGAAUUACUGGGCGUAAAGCGCGCGUAGGCGGGCUGUUAAGUCGGGGGUGAAAUCCCGGGGCUCAACCCCGGAACUGCCUUCGAUACUGGCAGCCUAGAGGUCGAGAGAGGUGAGUGGAAUGACGAGUGUAGAGGUGAAAUUCGUAGAUAUUCGUCGGAACACCCGUGGCGAAGGCGGCUCACUGGCUCGAUACUGACGCUGAGGUGCGAAAGCGUGGGGAGCAAACAGGAUUAGAUACCCCCGUAGUCC
rnacentral:rRNA from 1 species